UACGUAGGGAGCAAGCGUUGUCCGGAAUCAUUGGGCGUAAAGCGCGCGUAGGCGGCUCGAUCAGUCUGUUGUGAAAGUCAAAGGCUCAACCUUUGAAUGCCGAUGGAUACUGUCGAGCUAGAGUCCGGAAGAGGCGGGUGGAAUUCCUGGUGUAGCGGUGGAAUGCGCAGAUAUCAGGAGGAACACCGGUGGCGAAGGCGGGUCUCUGGGCCGAUACUGACGCUGAGGAGCGAAAGCGUGGGGAGCGAACAGG
rnacentral:rRNA from 1 species